rnacentral:rRNA from 1 species
GACGAACGCUGGCGGCGUGCUUAACACAUGCAAGUCGAACGGUGAAAGCGGAGCUUGCUCCGCUGGAUCAGUGGCGAACGGGUGAGUAACACGUGGGCAACCUGCCCCUCACUUCGGGAUAACUCCGGGAAACCGGGGCUAAUACCGGAUAUGACCUCCUUGGGCAUCCUUGGAGGUGGAAAGUUUUUCGGUGAGGGAUGGGCCCGCGGCCUAUCAGCUUGUUGGUGAGGUAGUGGCUCACCAAGGCGACGACGGGUAGCCGGCCUGGGAGGGCGACCGGCCACACUGGGACUGAGACACGGCCCAGACUCCUACGGGGGGCAGCAGUGGGGGGUAUUGCGCAAUGGGCGAAAGCCUGACGCAGCAACGCCGCGUGCGGGAUGACGGCCUUCGGGUUGUAAACCGCUUUCAGCAGGGAAGAAGCCGCAAGGUGACGGUACCUGCAGAAGAAGCACCGGCUAACUACGUGCCAGCCGCCGCGGUAA